rnacentral:rRNA from 1 species
UACGAAGGGGGCUAGCGUUGUUCGGAAUUACUGGGCGUAAAGGGCUCGUAGGCGGCCAACUAAGUCAGACGUGAAAUCCCUCGGCUUAACCGGGGAACUGCGUCUGAUACUGGAUGGCUUGAGUUUGGGAGAGGGAUGCGGAAUUCCAGGUGUAGCGGUGAAAUGCGCAGAUAUCAGGAACAACACCCGUGGCGAAGGCGGCUCUCUGGAACGCAACUGACGCUGAGACGCGAAAGCGUGGGGAGCAAACAGG